GAUGAACGCUGGCGGCGUGCCUAAUACAUGCCAGUCGAGCGAACGGACGAGAAGCUUGCUUCUCUGAUGUUAGCGGCGGACGGGUGAGUAACACGUGGAUAACCUACCUAUAAGACUGGGAUAACUUCGGGAAACCGGAGCUAAUACCGGAUAAUAUUUUGAACCGCAUGGUUCAAAAGUGAAAGACGGUCUUGCUGUCACUUAUAGAUGGAUCCGCGCUGCAUUAGCUAGUUGGUAGGGUAACGGCUUACCAAGGCAACGAUGCAUAGCCGACCUGAGAGGGUGAUCGGCCACACUGGAACUGAGACACGGUCCAGACUCCUACGGGAGGCAGCAGUAGGGAAUCUUCCGCAAUGGGCGAAAGCCUGACGGAGCAACGCCGCGUGAGUGAUGAAGGACUUCGGAUCGUAAAACUCUGUUAUUAGGGAAGAACAUAUGUGUAAGUAACUGUGCACAUCUUGACGGUACCUAAUCAGAAAGCCACGGCUAACUACGUG
rnacentral:rRNA from 1 species